rnacentral:lncRNA from 1 species
AUGAAAAUAAGAUGUGAGAGAUAGUGCCCCACCGCGCCCGGCCAAUUUUUAUUCUUGUUUAAUCCAUGGUAUGACUCUUAUUUUCAUAGUUUUCUAUUAAACAUUUUGUUUUUCAUGUAUAUCAUUAACCACGACCUCUGCAUUGUGAACAAAAAUCCCUAUGGCUGAAGCAGCUGAAUAUCACAUAUGUUUGAUAGUAAGGAAUCUG